UGGACAGAUAAAAUCCCUAAGCCUUGAAUAGCACAAGACCUAGCCUCAGCUCUAUGGGACAAAGACAUGGGACCCAGGCCCUGAACUUCUGCUCCUAUUCCAUGAAUCUUGAGAAGGAUAAGAUCAGAGACUGGAGGGUCCCUCAGUUAGAGCUCAAGGCAGAAGAGAAAAAGGCUCAAAAAGAAGCUGGAGACUCAAGAAGCAUCUGGGGAGGAUCUGGUAUAAUGUAAAUGAAGUCUGUCUUCCCCUGUCAAUGGGUCACCAUCAUCUGUGUAAUCCUAAGCCAGUUACUGCCACCAGCUCUGCUCUCCAAUGAGUAUACUGUUAAUAUUUACCUCCAAAGACAGCUGGAGUGACAGUACAAUCAGCAGGGGCUACAUCUCACUGACAAUGGUCAUUGCUCAGUGACCAGGGAGUAUUUUUGACCAUUCCACCACAACCACCUGCUUCAUGAAUGUAUAGCUUUAGAGCCAUGCAAUGUCUACAUCUUCAAAAAAAAUGAAAAGUACAAUUUUCUUGAUCUU
rnacentral:lncRNA from 10 species